rnacentral:rRNA from 1 species
UACGAAGGGAGCUAGCGUUGUUCGGAAUUACUGGGCGUAAAGGGCGCGUAGGCGGUUUGGCAAGUUGGAUGUGAAAGCCCAGGGCUCAACCCCUGGAAUUGCAUUCAAGACUGCCUUACUUGAAUUCGGUAGAGGUUGGUAGAAUUCCCAGUGUAGAGGUGAAAUUCGUAGAGAUUGGGAAGAAUACCCGUGGCGAAGGCGGCCAACUGGACCGACAUUGACGCUGAGGCGCGAAAGCGUGGGGAUCAAACAGG